rnacentral:rRNA from 1 species
UACAGAGGUCCCAAGCGUUGUUCGGAUUCAUUGGGCGUAAAGAGUGCGUAGGCGGCGCGGUAAGUCGGGUGUGAAAUCUCGGGGCUUAACUCCGAAACUGCAUUCGAUACUGCCGUGCUUGAGGACUGGAGAGGAGACUGGAAUUUACGGUGUAGCGGUGAAAUGCGUAGAUAUCGUAAGGAAGACCAGUGGCGAAGGCGGGUCUCUGGACAGUUCCUGACGCUGAGGCACGAAGGUCAGGGGAGCAAACGGG